rnacentral:misc_RNA from 1 species
GCCACUUUUGAUGCUAAUUUAUUUAUUGCCAUUCUUGUCACCAUUGAUUGGAUUCUCUUGUGGAUCAAGUCUUGCCCACAAAUAUGCAUCCAUAACAUAGAACAUGCACAAUUUCCAACCAAGACUUCUGCAAUUACUCUAAACAUUGGCCCCUUGAUGUUGAAACAUACAUAGGUGACUACAACAAUAUAAAGAUGUUAUAAUAGCAUUGUACUGCAGUUUUUAAGAGGGUAUUCUAAUAGUAAAUUAUUUACUU